AUGUGGGUGGGUAUCGAAGAAAAGAAAAAGAAGAUUCCUGCUGUGUGAGAAACCCUUAAGAAAAAAUGAAGGAAUUUCACAGAGCUGAAGAUCAAAUGCCUGAGAAAGAAGUUUGCCCAAAAGAUGCUUCAGAAGGCAAGGAGGAAGCUUUUUAUGAAAAAGCUAAGCCUUAUCGCAAGGAAUAUAGGCAGACGUACGAAACUGAGAUUCGAAUGGCUAGGAUCGCAAGAAAAGCUGGCAACUUCUGUGUACCUGCAUAACCCAAAUUGGCAUUUGUCAUUAGGAUCAGAGGUAUCAAAGGCCUGAAAGUUGUUGCAGCUUCUUCGCCUUCACCAGAUCUUCAGUGAAACCUUUGUUAAGCUCAGCAAGGCGUCAGUUAACAUGCUGAGGAUUUUAGAACCAUAUAUCACAUGGAGGUACACAAACCCGAAGUCAGUAAAUGAACUAAUUUACAGGGGUGGCUAUGGCAAGGUCAAUAAGAAGCGAAUUGCAUUGACAGACAAUGCUUUGAUUGCUCAAUCUUCUGGUAAAUAUGGCAUCAUCUGCAUAGAGGAUCUGAUUCAUGAGAUCUAUACUGUUGGAAAAUGCUUCAAAGAAGCAAAUAACUUCCUGUGGCCCUUCAAGUUAUCUCCACGGGUUGGAAUGAAGAAAAAGACAACCCAUUUUGUAGAAGGUGGAGAUGCUGGCAACAGGGAAGACCAGAUCAACAGGCUUAUUAGAAGAAUGAACUAAGGUAUCUACCAUGAUUAUUUUUGUAAUCUGGUCAGUUAAUAAACAGUGACUGAUUUCAAAUU